AUGGGAGCAGCAGCCAAGGUGUACUACUCCUGUGGUGCAGUGGUGGAAUCAAUGGAAAGAGGCCUGAUUUUGUCACCAGGUUUUCCAAACAACUACUACCCAGGGACGCACUGCGUCUGGCAGUUCUUCAUUCCCAUGAGGACCCAUCUCAUCCUGGAAAUAUUUGACUUUGACAUUUUUGAGAGCUCCAGUGAAACUCCAGCCCCCUGGGAUGGCUUCUCAGCCCCUGCUACAACAGAAAAUAAGGACAUGCCUUCUCUUGAGGAAAACCUGGGCUUUGCUGUCCACACCACAAAACCUUCUCUCCAGAGCUCGACGUCGAAGGGGGCUCAGAACCUGAGCAGCACUGGAGACCAGUCAAAGAACCUUGCUGGUCACCUGGAGGAACUUCCAGGAGCCAUCUCCAAAAAAAAUGAAGCCAAGCAAGCAUCUGAAGAAAACCAGUGGAAGCAGAUGAAGGAACCCAAAGCAAUGACCAAGGCUCAGCCAGAGGAGCUGCCGUUGCCCGUGGCUGGUAGUGCCUCAAUGCAGAGGCAGAACACCAGUGGCCUGGAAACAGGAGAGGAUGUGGAAGGGAAGGUGUUGCUUGCCCACCUGGCUGCUGGUGAGAGGGAUGAAGUCACAGCAGAGAGCUGGACACUUCCCUCAACAGCACUGCCCAUGGAAAUCUCCUCCAGCCCUCAGCCAGCAGGGGAUGUCUGUCCCCAUGAUGUGUUGUAUGUUUCCGAUCUCAUCACAUUUUCCUCUCGCUUCUGCGGCCCAAAUUCCCCUGUAAACAAGACCAUGGUGUUUGGUUCAUCUCUGGAGAUGGUGGAGGUCAUCAUGGAGCUGAUCACGACCACGGACCGCGGCCGAGGCUUCGCGAUGCUGUUCGAGUACAGGAACAUCAGCGAGCCCGGCCCCGUGGGUGCUGUGAGGCAGGACAGGAGGGAAAACAUGAUGCUGCUGGCAGUUGUGACAGGGAUUGUUGUCUUUGCUCUUGCUUUGCUCUCUGCCCUCUGCGUAGCCUGCAGGCAGAGAACGUGCCCCAAAAGGAGCUCAUCCAACGCAUGCAGUGACCAGGAGAACAGGAUCCAGAACUCCACUGUCGAUAUCAAUGAGCUCCAGCUGGUGGUGCCAAGCCGGGAGAAUGAGAACAACAACCACUCUGUGAGCCGGGAGCAGGCGGUCACUUCCUGCAGAGGCAGCACAGAACGGUCUCCUCAGGACACUGACCCAGAUGUGCCCUCCUCCAUCUCUGCCGUGACCACUGAGACUGGGAGUGAUGAAGUGUUCAUCAUUUCUGCUGGACCUGGGACCAGUGGGCUGAGCUUUACCACCUACAGGAUACAGGACAAAAACCUGAAAAGGAGCGUGACAAGCCCGGGCUCUGUGUCGGACUGGCUGAGCUCCCAGCCCGCGGCUGCAGGGGCUGCGGAGAAGGGGAACGUGCAGCUGGAGAAUCCCUGUCCCCGGCAGCGCACCUGGAGCGCCCGCACCUUCCACGACCUCCUGGCUCCCAUCCCACAGCUGCAGAAGAAAUGGUGCAGCUGGAGCACCAACAGCCCCUUCACAAAGCUGGUGGACAGCAGUGGUUUUUCUACAGCUGCAAGGCCCCAAGGUGUUCCAACCAGAAAGGUAAUCUCAGCCACUGAGAUAGAGGGAGCAUCAGAGACUAUUUACUCUGAUUCAUCUGCCAGCAAUGCCUCCUAUCCCCUCACUCUGUCUGCACAGAGGCAGCGAAAGAUAACCUCCUGCAAUUUGAAGAAAUCCAGAUUUGGGAACCCUUAUUUUGGAUUUUUAGCCAGUUCCCCUGACAGCAAACAUAUGAGGUCCUUGGAUCCCUCAAGACAUCUAGGGGCAGCAUCUCCAGUUAACAACCAAAGCCCCAAAAAUCUUCUAGAGAGCUCCAACCCACUGAAAAUCAACUUGGUCAACGGUUCGAAAACAAAGGAGCUUAUGGUAGAAACAGAUAAAAACAAACCAGUUUUUGUUAUUUCUGAAGAAGGGGAUGAUCAGCAGCCUCUGGUCCUGGCAGAACACCUUAGUCAGUGUGGAGAUCACCUGCCAGAGCAAAAUGCUGCGUAUGCUCAGGCCGUGCCAGAGAAGCAGCCGGUGGUUCUGAGUGCGGAGAGGAACAGCUCUGCCCCCUUCACACCGAGCCUUCCCCUCUGGGCUAAAUCCCCCGCGUCGUACAAAGGCCAUGGGAAGGGCCCCAGCUCCUCCAGGGACCAGCAGAGCUCAGCUCUCAGUGUUGGUGGGGAUGCCAACAGUGCUGAGCCCUCCCAGAACUGCGACACCCCCGGUGCUGCCACGCUGUGCCAAGCCUCAGCCCAGUGA
ensembl:lncRNA